CAAUAGCGUAUAUUAAAGUUGUUGCAGUUAGAACGCUCGUAGUCGGAUUUCGGGGCGGGCCGACCGGUCUGCCGAUGGGUACGCACUGGUCGGCGCGUCCUUCCUUCCGGAGACCGUGCCUACUCUUAACUGAGCGGGGGCGGGAGACGGAUCGUUUACUUUGAAAAAAUCAGAGUGUUUCAAGCAGGCAGCUCGCUCUUGCAUGGAUUAGCAUGGGAUAAUGAAAUAGGACUUUGGUGCUAUUUUGUUGGUUUCGAACACCGAAGUAAUGAUUAAAAGGGACAGUCAGGGGCACUCGUAUUCCGCAGAGAGAGGUGAAAUUCUCAGACCCGCGGAAGACGAACCACUGCGAAAGCAUUUGCCAGGGAUGUCUUCACUGA
rnacentral:rRNA from 1 species